AACGAUAGAAGAGGAAAGAAAUAACGCCUCACAGAUCAAUAGGGUCACAGCUACAGAUGCUGAUGGACAGGGUGUGAUGAUGUACAGUGUAAUUGGUUUGAAUACGGCUCCAAGUUUCUUCUUUGUUGGUAGCAAUGGUCAAGUGUUUAGUCGAGGAACAUUGAGAUCAGAUAGAGAUAUGGAAUAUGUUUUGAGAGUUGUAGCACACGACAGUUUGACACCCAACCAACAAGCAACAGCAGACGUCACAAUUUCUGUCAGACGUAAUGUGUAU